GCUAUUACCAAACAAACAAAUUAGCACAAUAACCGACGAAAGUACAAGUAUACCUAUCAAAGGAACGAUUUGUGAACUCGCUUUAUGUUAUUUUCAUGGACGCGGGAACUGUGAAGAGGAUAUUACAUUUCAACAUAUUUCUCUACAUCUGGGACUCACGAUUUAUUUAGAUGUAUAAUUGACUCGUUACUGGACUGAUGGAGUGCAGUAAUGUUUCCGAGGAAGAGACAAGACAAGGAUGUUGCACAUGAGGGUUGGAAUGAGAGGCAAGAGAACUUGGAGCAUUUCUUGCCAACUUCCCCCCAGCAGGCUCUUAGUCAGUUUAAUGAUAUCGAGUGGUCAAGUAGUGAUGAAGAAGACCAAAAUAAAAUUGAUAAAAGCAAAUCAACUCCUAGAUUGCUGUUUUUAAAAAAUAGAGCUUAUGACAGGUCACAGAUUCAUGAGUCUGAUAUAUUCUCAUGUGAAGAACCAAGUCUACCUUUUAAGAUUAAAAAAAAGGAGAAAACUUUUACUGCUGAACAUAAGCUAAAAGUUUCAUCAUCACCUCGAAUUGGCAGACGUUGCGCAGAUGUGAACAGCACUGAUAAUGGAAGCAGAUUUCAUGAAUUGUCAUUUUCAAAUAAAGUCUCACAGGAAAGGAACAGAAUUCCUGAAAUUGAUAAUAGAAAUUUGGAGAAAACUCCAAAGAAGAGUAUGUGUGGUCAUAAAUCCUCCAAUUUGUCUCCUUUGGUAGGCUCACAAAGGUAUCCAUCGAGAGAAAUACCCCCACAGGCACCCAAGGAAGAUGAGAUAUCUUGCUCAAUGUAUAUAACUGAACCAAGCUCCCCUAUUCUUGGUUCACAGACUAUUGUUAAAAGACGGAGAAUUAGUUUAGGUCCCCGAUCUUAUUCAAGUAUUCAGCAGAGCACUUGUGAAACACUUGAGUCUUCUGGACAUCCAAACUCUAAUAUAAACAAUUUUGAAAUUUCACCAUCUUUAAGGAUUGUGGCAACCUUUGAUCAUAGAAAUCUUGGAGAAAGUGAAUGUGACAAAAAAACAAGGUCAUUUAAAUUGGCCCAUGAAGACAAACUAAAUUUUGAGAACAUAGAUAAAAAUAAAGACUUAGAAAAGGAGAUUCUGCAUCAGAGUUCAGGAAAAUACACCCAGAAUACAAAUGAUUACUCAGUGCCAGCUCAUAACAUUAAAAAGAGUGAACAGAAAACCACCAUAAAAAGGGAGCAAGCUAUAACCUAUACUACAAAGAGUAUGUUUAAAUUAAAGGAAUAUAAAGAUGCAGAGCAAUGUAUAUUAAAAAAGACUGCAAUUCAUAUGCAGAACAGCCACUCACAGGAAAUUAAUUCAGAUACAGAGAAGAGCAAUGACAACUUUGAAUUAGACAUUAGCCCAUUUUCGCCAGUGCAGAGUGGUCAAGAAGGAUUACUCGAAUCAUUGGAAAGCUGUAAUAUCACCAUCUCAGAAGCAUCAUCUGCUUUAACUGAAGUUGAAGAAACAACAGUUCAGUCGCACAAGACAGGCUCGGAGUGGCUUCGCAGCCUUCAGCAAAUUACACCUGUCAAGCAUUGUCUUAAAGGUAGUAAAGAAGAGGGUGAGGAUUCAGCCAAAAAAAAGCUCAAGAAGGAUGGUCUUGCAAGUAGAUUGUCUCAGCUGAUACGGUCUUGGCAAUCCAGUGUCCAGAUGUGGACUCACCAGAUGGCUUUAGCCAAACCUCAGGGUCCACUUGGUAAUAAUGAGCAGAAAGACAAUCACAUGACACGGCUGCCUCAGGAGAUGAGCAAGAACAUUCUUGGAGGCUCACCAUCUCUCACAAAUUGUGCACAAAUACAUUUUCAGUCACCAGCAGUUAAGAACUUGAGUGAAAUUUUAGGAAGUCCUUCACAGACCUCCACUCAGGCUUCUUGUUUUAGUCAGACCCAUGUCGAAAAUUCCAAGAAGAAUUUAAGACUAAUAAUCAUCAGAACUGGAGGAGACCUACCAAAUAAUGCAGCUGAAUGUAAAGAACACAAAGGCCAAUUAAGUCAGAAGACUAUGGAUGUAAUAGAGAAAGGAUGUGAAUUUCGGAAGAAGGGGAAAAAUGAAAAUGCUAGAAAAUUUUUGGUCAUCUUUGCUCUUAGUGGAGAAAAUAAAAAACAGAGAUUAUUUGUCAAUAAUAUAGUAAAAGUAUAUGCACCAUGGCAACAUCUGGUUAUUCCACAGUAUCCAGUACCAAUACUAUUUGCAUCCUACUUUACUGUAGAAAUUAAUCUGCACAGUGUAAAUGACCUAAACACAAGAACUGACUAUCUGGCUGCAAACAUCAUUAACACAAUGGAAGAUAAGAUAUAUUCUGGUGAUGGAAAGAAAAGCAAGAAGAAGAUUGUGCUGUCCUCUUGGUCUUGUGCUUGUCUAUCAGGACCUGUUGGGUUGCCUUCCAUUUGUAAUUCAUUCCAGUAUACAACUGUGCAGCCUGUCAGAAGAAUCACACAGCAUUGUUUCAGUGAAGACAAUCCUGGAUUUUCCAUCAUUAAAGAGACUUCAGAUGUAUCUGAAAGCAAGGAAGGGGAUUGUACUGCAAACAGUGUUUUAAAAGCCAUAGAAAAGUGUGGAGGUGUAUCAGACAUGCCUGUCACUAUCACCAUCAGGAUUCAUCGUAUUAUUUUGCAAAAGAAUGAUGAAGGCAUCUUAGAUUAUUGGGAAUGUGUUGGUCAAGAUGCCAGUGGAAUGUUCUGUUCCAUAAGAAUACCAAACCAUCCCCUUGUUAGCCAGUUUAAGGGGCUAAUAGAAACUGGAGAGGGAGCCACCUUCACCUUCAGCCAUGUCACAGUACUACAGAGGCUUACCAACACUCAAAAUUCUGGUUUGUUUUCGCUUCUGUCAUCACUACAUUCUUCCUACCAGUCAGUUAUUUAUGCCUGUUCAGACCUGCUUUCAUUGUUGAAGGAGCAUGCCACAAGACCACCCCAAACAUACUGCUAUGUAUUUGCUGUGAAUCUCAGGGUCUCCAAAGCCAUAAACAAUGAAUAUCAGGUUGCACUGCCCAUCAAGUUACCAGACUGGACCUUGAUAGAAGCCAUGCAGAUAUCUCAUGAUGGCUGUCGUGGUAAUAUAGAAAUGCACAUCCUCUACAGAGUUGAAAGUCUUUUGUAUGUCAUGAACAGUGAAGGUUUCACAGAAGAGAAUGAUAAAGAAAUUAAGAAAAAUCAUGAAGGGCAUAUUAAAUAUGAAAUGGGAAACACAUCAACCUUGGUGAUUAGUGUUCUAGUAGAGAAGGGAACAUCACUGCCUCUAUGGAUACCAGAAAGUGGCACAGUUAUGCAAGGUGUGGUUCUUAGAGAUGCAGUAAUAUGGCAAGCUUUGCAUAGAAUACUGAAACCCCUUUCCCUCACUAGUCAGAGUUGGGAUCUUGCUAUAGUAAAUGGGGUUAAAAAGGCAUCAGCUCAUCUUUGUCAUACAAUACUUAACUCCAUCACAAAUGGCUGGUGAAAUGUGUCCUCCAUAACAUCAUCAACACCUGUCUCUGCAGUCUGGUGGAGGAUCCAUAAACUAUCAGGUACCAUUCUUAGGAUUGAUGAAGAAAGUGCAUACAGCUGGCCAGCCUGUCCUUAUUGCCUAAAUAGCAGUAUCAUUGAUGCAGAUAAUGGUGUAGAAUGCCAGAAAUGUGGAC
rnacentral:misc_RNA from 1 species